UAAAUUUUAAGUUAUAAAAACUUAGAGCCUUCAAAGUUCUCAAAAAGAUCAUCUUAAAUUUAA
rnacentral:tRNA from 1 species